rnacentral:rRNA from 1 species
AUUGAACGCUGGCGGCAGGCCUAACACAUGCAAGUCGAACGGUAACAGGAAGAAGCUUUCUUCUUUGCUGGCGAGUGGCGGACGGGUGAGUAGUGUCUGGGAAACUGCCUGCUGGAGGGGAAUAACUACUGGAAACGGUAGCUAAUACCGCAUAACGUCGCAAGACCAAAAAGGGGGGCCUUCGGGCCUCUUGCCCUCGGAUGUGCCCCGGUGGGAUUAGCUAGUCGGUGGGGUAACGGCUCCCCUAGGCGACGGUCCCUCGCUGGUCUGAGAGGAUGACCAGCCACACUGGAACUGAGACACGGUCCAGACUCCUACGGGAGGCAGCAGUGGGGAAUAUUGCACAAUGGGCGCAAGCCUGAUGCAGCCAUGCCGCGUGUAUGAAGAAGGCCUUCGGGUUGUAAAGUACUUUCAGCGGGGAGGAAGGGAGUAAAGUUAAUACCUUUGCUCAGUGACGUUACCCGCAGAAGAAGCACCGGCUAACUCCGUG